CAGCCGCGGUAAUACGUAGGGACCAAGCGUUGUUCGGAUUUACUGGGCGUAAAGGGCGCGUAGGCGGCGCGGUAAGUCACUUGUGAAAUCUCUGAGCUUAACUCAGAACGGCCAAGUGAUACUGCAGUGCUAGAGUGUGGAAGGGGCAAUCGGAAUUCUUGGUGUAGCGGUGAAAUGCGUAGAUAUCAAGAGGAACACCUGAGGUGAAGACGGGUUGCUGGGCCAACACUGACGCUGAUGCGCGAAAGCCAGGGGAGCAAACGGGAUUAGAUACCCCGGUAGUCCUGGCCCUAAACGAUGAAUACUUGGUGUCUGGAGUUUUAAUGCUCCGGGUGCCGUCGCUAACGUUUUUA
rnacentral:rRNA from 1 species